UUCCAAACAGUGAACUACACUGCCCUCUGGAUGAACAGCUGCCAUAGAGGAAAGGACCUUGCCCACACAGAAGACUGUCUGAUGGUUGUUUAUCCCAGAUAUUCAGCCCCAGUGAUGUUCCUAACUCAACACGGGCCACCUCUGCGCUUGCUUGCAUAGAAUCUGGACCCAACCCAAACCAGGCUUGCCAUCUCAUCCCCGAGCCACAAAGCCAAGCAGGCUUCCCUGAGCAUCCAUCCUCUGCCGAAAUACGGUGAUUGCUGGCAAUGCUGCUUCCCAUAACUAAAACCAGGACCGUUUCUGUCAGUGGCAUGGGCUGCUGCUAGAAGUCCCAGCCAUGGAGGACAGACUAGAGUUCCAUUAAUGCCACCCCCUCCUCCUCCCCUGGAUCAUUGAGGAGGCUCUACACUCAAGG